GGCCCGUUAGCUCAGUUGGUUAGAGCAUGGUGCUCACAACCCCUGGGUUGCUGGUUCGAUCCCCACAUGGGUCA